rnacentral:rRNA from 1 species
GACGAACGCUGGCGGCGUGCCUAAUACAUGCAAGUAGGACGCACAGUUUAUACCGUAGCUUGCUACACCAUAGACUGUGAGUUGCGAACGGGUGAGUAACGCGUAGGUAACCUGCCUAUUAGAGGGGGAUAACUAUUGGAAACGAUAGCUAAUACCGCAUAACAGUAUGUAACACAUGUUAGAUGCUUGAAAGAUGCAAUUGCAUCGCUAGUAGAUGGACCUGCGUUGUAUUAGCUAGUAGGUAGGGUAAUGGCCUACCUAGGCGACGAUACAUAGCCGACCUGAGAGGGUGAUCGGCCACACUGGGACUGAGACACGGCCCAGACUCCUACGGGAGGCAGCAGUAGGGAAUCUUCGGCAAUGGGGGGAACCCUGACCGAGCAACGCCGCGUGAGUGAAGAAGGUUUUCGGAUCGUAAAGCUCUGUUGUUAAGGAAGAACGAGUGUGAGAAUGGAAAGUUCAUACUGUGACG